rnacentral:rRNA from 1 species
UACGGGGGGGGCAAGCGUUGUUCGGAAUCACUGGGCGUAAAGGGCGCGUAGGUGGCGACCCAAGUCGAUGGUGAAAGCUCGCCCGCUCAACGGUGAGUCGGCCACCGAUACUGGGUUGCUGGAGCACUGUAGAGGCAGAUGGAAUUCCGGGUGUAGCGGUGGAAUGCGUAGAGAUCCGGAAGAACACCGGUGGCGAAGGCGGUCUGCUGGGCAGUUGCUGACACUGAGGCGCGACAGCGUGGGGAGCAAACAGG